rnacentral:rRNA from 3 species
UUUGCGGCGGCCAUGGCCCAGGUGAGACGCCCGGUCCCAUUCCGAACCCGGAAGCUAAGGCCUGGCACGGCGAUGGUACUGCACCCGACAGGGUGUGGGAGAGUAGCACGCCGCCGCA